CCCACACUCCUAAAUUACAUUGUAUACCGCCUAAACUUUACCCACUCUCCUAAAUUACACAGAACUCCUGCGCCUUUUCAGCUUCUUCUGCCGACGAUCACAAUAUGCUAAAUCCUUUCCAUUAUUUUUCCCAACUGAAAGAUUAUCUCAAACCAGUCUCUCACAAGCUAUUGUUUGGAUGCUUCUCAAUUCCACAAUCCAUUCGGCUAAGUGGGAAAGAAAGUUUGUCAGAAAAAAUGACUUCAAAUCGUGAGUGGAUGUACAAAAGGUUAACGAGACGUUUGUGUAAUCCAGAAUUCGUUGGUGUUGAGCAAUUUAUUGAGUUUGUAAAGAAUCAUCGGGAAGGGAGGGAUGGUGAGAGACUAAGGUGCCCAUGUAACCGAAAAAAGUGUCAGAAUAGAAAUUUUGAAGAUGUUCUUACGGUCCACGAACAUUUAUUGUGCGACGGCUUUGUACCUGGAUAUUAUAUAUGGUACUUGCAUGGAGAAAAUAAGGUUACUAGAAAUAUAGUUCAACAUGAAGAGAUGCAAAAUUGGGAUCAGACUAUGAUUACUACAUCAGUAAAUGUGGGUGCAAUUGAUUAGCCUAGAUCACCUACUUCAUACCAUAGAAUGGUCCUUGACGCCGCUGGCCCUUCAUUCAAUCCGAAUGAUAUGGAUGAAUUACCAAAUCCUGAUGCGCAGAAAUUUUAUGAUAUGAUUGAUUCUACAAAUCAAGAGGUGUGGCCUGGCUGUGAAACACAUUCUCAAUUGUCAGCUGUUACACGUUUAUUGCAUAUCAAGUUUGAACACCAUCUAUCUGAUAGAUGUUCUGAUGACAUUUGUCAAUAUGUGAAUGAGAUGAUUCCUCCUGAUAAACUAAUGCCAAAAAAUUUCUAUGAAGCUAAGAAGUUAAUGCAGGGAAUGAACAUGCCAGUAGAAAAAAUUCACAGUUGUAUCAAUGCCUGUAUGAUUUAUUGGGGAGAAGACAGUGAACUUAGUCAUUACAAGUUUUGUCGUCAUCCCAGGUACAAGCCUACUAGGCAAAUAUCUAAUUCAAAGAGAAAUCUUGUACCAUUCAAACAGAUGUACUACUUUUCCCUCACUCCACGGUUGCAACGCGUAUAUGCUUCCAACAUGACUGAUGCACAUAUGCGAUGGCAUACCGAGCAUGAAGUUGAGGAAGGUGUGAUAUGUCAUUGUUCAGAUGCACCCGCAUGGAAACACUUUGAUAAGAUGCAUCCAUCUUUUGAAGCUGAAAGUCAUAAUGUCAGAUUGGUGCUAUGCACACAUGGUUUUCAACCAUUUGGACAAGCAGGUCAACAAUAUUCAUCUUGGCCAAUAGUUGUGACACCAUACAACUUGCCACCUUGGAUGUGUAUGAAAGAGUCCUAUUUGUUUUUGUCAGUUAUAGUUCAUGGGCCGAAGAACCCUAAGCAAAAACUUGAUGUUUUCUUGCAACCUUUGAUUGCAGAACUAAAAAAUCUGUGGAGUAUAGGUGAGGACACAUAUGAUAUCUCUAAGAAGCAAAAUUUUAACAUGCGAGCUGUUUUGAUGUAGACAAUUAGUGAUUUUCCUGCAUAUUCGAUGUUGUCUGGAUGGGGUACUGCGGGUAGGCUAGCAUGUCCAUAUUGUAGGGAGAAUACAGAUGCUUUUACUUUGACAAAAGGUGGCAAACAAUCCUGGUUUGACAAUCAUCGUAUGUUCCUUCCACUGGAUCAUCCAUACAUAACUAAUAGAAAUUCAUUUAGAAAGAAUAAAGUAGUCACAACGCAUCCUCCCCCGAUACAGUCAGGUGAUGAUAUAUUGAAGGAGAUAAAUGAAUUGGGGUUAAAAAAAGGUAACAGAGCUUGGGGCUGAUAUUGUUAAUGGCAAAAUUAGCAAGUUUUCUGGUUGGAAGAAAAGAAGCAUAUUUUGGGAUUUACCGUAUUGGAGUACAAAUCUCAUUCGGCACAAUCUAGAUGUUAUGAACAUCGAGAAAACUUUUUCGAGAAUGUGUUCAACACAGUGCUAGAUGUAGAUAGUAAAACAAAAGAUAAUCCCAAAUCUAGAGAAGACUUGAAAGAGUUCUGUCGACGGCUUGAAUUACAUGCUGUUGGUGACGAAUAUCCGAAAGCUUGUUACACACUAGACAAGAAGUCAAAAAAAGUGUUGUGUGAAUGGGUGGAGAAUUUGAAAUUUUCAGAUGGAUAUGUCUCAAAUAUGGGAAGGAGUGUGGACAUGAAAAAACAUAAAUUGUUUGGUAUGAAAAGCCACGAUUGUCAUGUAUUAAUGCAAAGAUUGGUCCCUAUUGCGUUUCGUGAGCUAUUACCACCAAAAGUUUGGGAACCACUUGCUGAGAUGAGCCUUUUCUUUAGGGAUCUCACUUCUACAGCAAUUUGGGAAGAGGAUAUGGUCAGACUUGAACAAGAAAUACCUGAAAUACUUUAUAAAUUGGAGCGUAUAUUCCCUUCCAGCUUCUUUGAUUAAAUGGAACAUCUCCCCGUACAUCUUGCUUACGAAGCAAGGAUAGCAGGUCCGGUGCAAUAUCGAUGGAUGUACCCAUUUGAGAGAAACCUUCGGAAAUUGAAAAAUAAUGUUCGAAAUAAGGCACAAGUUGAAGGAUUCAUAUGCAAUGCGUAUUUAGUUGAGGAAGCUUCAUCUUUUUGUUCACACUACUUCGAACCUCAUGCUUACACAAGGCAUAGGAAAGUUCCACGGAAUGAUGAUGGUGGUACAAGGGAAAAGGAUGAACACGAUGGUAAUCUUUCUAUAUUUACCUAUCCAGGUAAGGCAUUUGGGAGAUGCAAAACCAAGAUAUAUGACUGAAGAAGAACUUGAUGCAGCUCAUAUUUAUGUUUUAUUAAAUUGCCCAGAGGUACACCCAUAUAUUGAGUAAGACUUCAAGCUUUUGUUUUCAUUUAUAGAUUAGAAAAAUCAUCAAAACACUUAAUAUAUAAUUUUCUUAGAUGUGAUUCAAAGGAUUUUUAUUGACUCCCUUCGUCAAAAUUUCCCACAAAUUACGGAGAAGGAAGUGGAUAGGAAACUUGAUGAAGAUUUUGCAUCAUGGUUUAAAAGAUAUGUGAGUACUUAUACGAUAUCCUUCCACUUAUACUUACCUCACUUAUGAGAAACUCUAAUUAUUUUUCUUUUAAGGCACGAGUCCACAUAGAUAAUCAGUUCAUCAAGGCCCUUGCAGAAGGUCUGUGUCGAACAACGCAACCAUAGACCGGUUAUAUUGUCAACGGCUUUAAAUUUCACACUAAAAGCCGCAGUUCUUCUAGAGCAUCUAAUAACAGCGGUGCAUGCAUAAAAGGAACUAGUUAUAGUGCAGAUGAUAGUGACUACUAUGGUGUGCUAACUGAUAUCCUUGAAUUGGAGUACAAGGGUAGUGAGUAUAUAAAGAGAACUGUUUUAUUCAAGUGCGAGUGGUUUGAUCCCACACCAAAGGCAGGAAAAAAAAAUGAAGAUUCACCCACAAUAUAAACUUGUGGAUAUCAACCAUGAAAAGAAAUUAAAGAAGUAUGAACCAUUUGUUUUGGCAAUGCAAACGGCUCAAGUGUAUUAUACAACUUAUCCUAGCUUACGACGUGAUAAGAGUGACUGGUGGGCUGUGUGCAAAAUAAAAGCAUGGGGUAUUGUGGACAUGCCUCCAUCAUCUUCACAGUCAACUCCGACAGAUGGUGUUGAGCCAUUCCAAUCCGAAGAAGAUGGUUUAACAUUUGGUGUGGUACCUGACAAUGAAACUGUUCUCCUAAAUGAUCCAAAUGGUGAAUUCAUAAACAUAAGAGACGAAGAUAAUGAUUUAUGAUGAGGUAGAACUUCAUGUUGAAUUUGGGUCGGAUGAAGAUGAGGAUGAGGAUAAUGAGGAUGAAGCGCCAUAUGAUGAAAAUGACAGUGAAUAGAGUCAAAGUGCUUCAAUCUCUUCAACUAUAGAGUCUGAAUGAAUGAAACAUAGUAUAUAAUUUAUUUUUAUUACUAUUUGAUGAAAACUUUUCUAUUUCAUUUUAUAUGAAGUAAGACUUGGUCUUAUUAGGAAAAGUUUUGGAAUAAUGUAUAUGAUUUGCCAAUAUGAGAGCAUUAAUGUGGUCUUCGUUGCAUACCAAAAUCUUAAUUCCUACAUAUUAACUCUAGUUAGGAGGUAACAACUCAUUUACUGCAGUACUUGUAUAAAAUAAAGAUAUUACUUACACUUCACACAAAAAAAUAUAAAUUGGUUCAUAAGAAGAUGGGCAGAAGAAUGUCCCUUUUGAUCAUUAUUAAGCAUCGCAUAAGUAAUUCACGUUAUUUCUCAAAUGCUUCUUGAAAGAAUAUGAAAUAUUUAAAUGAAAUAGAGUAAUAAAAUAAUUCAUUUCUUAUUUA